GAUGAACGCUGGCGGCGUGCCUAAUACAUGCAAGUCGAGCGAACAGACGAGGAGCUUGCUCCUCUGACGUUAGCGGCGGACGGGUGAGUAACACGUGGAUAACCUACCUAUAAGACUGGGAUAACUUCGGGAAACCGGAGCUAAUACCGGAUAAUAUAUUGAACCGCAUGGUUCAAUAGUGAAAGACGGUUUUGCUGUCACUUAUAGAUGGAUCCGCGCCGCAUUAGCUAGUUGGUAAGGUAACGGCUUACCAAGGCAACGAUGCGUAGCCGACCUGAGAGGGUGAUCGGCCACACUGGAACUGAGACACGGUCCAGACUCCUACGGGAGGCAGCAGUAGGGAAUCUUCCGCAAUGGGCGAAAGCCUGACGGAGCAACGCCGCGUGAGUGAUGAAGGUCUUCGGAUCGUAAAACUCUGUUAUUAGGGAAGAACCAAUGUGUAAGUAACUAUGCACGUCUUGACGGUACCUAAUCAGAAAGCCACGGCUAACUACGUG
rnacentral:rRNA from 1 species